rnacentral:rRNA from 1 species
GCUAGUCGUACGAGUUCAUACUCGUGGCGAAUAGCUCAGUAACACGUGGCCAAACUACCCUUCGGAGCUCCAUACCCUCGGGAAACUGAGGCUAAUAGAGCAUACCACAAUCCAGCUGGAAUGAGGAUUGUGCCAAACGCUCCGGCGCCGAAGGAUGUGGCUGCGGCCGAUUAGGUAGACGGUGGGGUAACGGCCCACCGUGCCAAUAAUCGGUACGGGUCAUGAGAGUGAGAACCCGGAGACGGAAUCUGAGACAAGAUUCCGGGCCCUACGGGGCGCAGCAGGCGCGAAACCUUUACACUGCACGCCAGUGCGAUAAGGGGAUCCCAAGUGCGCAGGCAUAGAGCCUGCGCUUUUGUACACCGUAGGGAGGUGUACGAAUAAGGGCUGGGCAAGACCGGUGCCAGCCGCCGCGGUAAUACCGGCAGCCCGAGUGAUGGCCGAUCUUAUUGGGCCUAAAGCGUCCGUAGCUGGCCGCACAAGUCCAUCGGAAAAUCCACCCGCCCAACGGGUGGGCGUCCGGUGGAAACUGUGUGGCUUGGGACCGGAAGGCGCGACGGGUACGUCCGGGGUAGGAGUGAAAUCCCGUAAUCCUGGACGGACCGCCGAUGGCGAAAGCACGUCGCGAGGACGGAUCCGACAGUGAGGGACGAAAGCCAGGGUCUCGAACCGGAUUAGAUACCCGGGUAGUCCUGGCCGUAAACAAUGUCUGUUAGGUGUGGCUCCCACUACGAGUGGGUGCUGUG